rnacentral:rRNA from 1 species
UACGGGGGGGGCAAGCGUUGUUCGGAAUUACUGGGCGUAAAGCGCACGUAGGCGGACAUUUAAGUCAGGGGUGAAAUCCCAGAGCUCAACUCUGGAACUGCCUUUGAUACUGGGUGUCUUGAGUAUGGAAGAGGUGAGUGGAAUUCCGAGUGUAGAGGUGAAAUUCGUAGAUAUUCGGAGGAACACCAGUGGCGAAGGCGGCUCACUGGUCCAUUACUGACGCUGAGGUGCGAAAGCGUGGGGAGCAAACAGG